rnacentral:misc_RNA from 1 species
GAUGAAGAACGCAGCGAAAUGCGAUAAGUAAUGCGAAUUGCAGAAUUCAGUGAGUCAUCGAAUCUUUGAACGCACAUUGCGCCCUGUGGUAUUCCGCAGGGCAUGCCUGUUCGAGCGUCAUUACAACCCUCAAGCUCUGCUUGGUGUUGGGCCCUGCCCGCUGCGGCCGGCCCUAAAGACAGUGGCGGUGCCGCCUGGCCCUGAGCGUAGUACAUCUCUCGCUCCAGUGCCCGGUGGUAGCCUGCCAGAACCCCAACUCUCGUGGUUGACCUCGGAUCAGGUAGGGAUACCCGCUGAACUUAAGCAUAUCAAUAAGCGGAGGA